GAUUCCGUCUCUCACAGUUGAAGUAAAAAUUACAGACCUCUACAUGCUUUAGACCAUUGAAGUAUAAACAGAUACAGUUGAUCUACAAUGCCUUCGGAAAGUGGCAGGGGUGGCAGGGGUUUUGCUCUGACAUGCACUGUCACUGACAGGGCUAAAGACAUCCAUACUGAACCAGUGGCUGGAGGACGACUUUGAGUGGCCCGACAGGCCAACUUCGAGUGGCGACUUGGUUGGUUCAAGUAGUACCACGGUCCUAACAGGUGUCCAGGGAGAGAUUUGAGACCAGCUACCAGUUCCUGGUGGGCUGAUAGGGACGCCAUACAAGACAUACAAACACCUGAACCGACCAACCUCUUCAGGGCAACGUUUUGCAUUGAGUGACCCUGGCAGCCAAUCAAAGGCGGAAAGAAGGACAGAAUGCCGCAUUUAAAAUGUAUUAUAUACUGUAUUUCUUUGUCGUCAAAAUUUGCAAAAAGUAGUCUAGCGCUUUUGGAAUUUCUGAUGCUCCCAGAAUGUCUAGCUUUCAUUUCAAUGACUGUUAGCAAGCUGGACAAAAGUGAAGAGACUAUAAAUGAAAGUCCAAUAUCAUUUCUACAAACUUUUGAUUUGGUCUUAGUAAUUUCAAUGUCGAUUGACAUCGUUUUGCUGCGACAAAAAAAAAAACAUUUUCAGAUUGUAUAGGCUCGCGGGCCUUGAGUUUGACAAGUGGGCUACAUUGUCAUUCAACCGGUUAAAAAAAGCUGUAAAAUACAUUAUACUGUGGUUGCACUUUAUAAACUGGUGUACUUUCAUGGUAAAUUACUACAUAGGGAUACUAUGGAGGAGCUAAUGUUGACUUUAAAAACCUAUUCCAUACUUAAAUACCUUUUUUCAAUAUUGCCUGACCGUUUAUGAUCAGCAGACCGGAGAUAAAGUCACUGAGAUGUCUUGGCUCAUCCUUUAAAUCAGUGUUUCAUCAACCACCGGGAAAAAAACAGACUGGAACAAGAUCUGUAUUGGAAGGUCUCCUCUUUGGGAGCGAAGACUGAAUGAAACAGCAAAAACUGUUUUACCAAUGAUAUGAUGCAACUUAUGCCAGUUUGACAAUUAGCAGUACUCAUUUUUAACGUUGGUACUAAAGCUAAUGAAUAAUGUUGUAAUAUCACAUGUAUAUAAUAACAUGGCCUAACAACGUGUCUGUAUACAGAGAACAGAUAUUGAACACUCAA